AAUAAACUAGUUAAAUAAUAACAUUAGAAUGUCAUUCUAAAAUUACAAUUAGUGUUUAUUA
rnacentral:tRNA from 1 species